GAUGAACGCUGGCGGCGUGCCUAAUACAUGCAAGUCGAGCGAACGGACGAGAAGCUUGCUUCUCUGAUGUUAGCGGCGGACGGGUGAGUAACACGUGGAUAACCUACCUAUAAGGCUGGGAUAACUUCGGGAAACCGUAGCUAAUACCGGAUAAUAUUUUGAACCGCAUGGUUCAAAAGUGAAAGACGGUCUUGCUGUCACUUAUAGAUGGAUCCGCGCUGCAUUAGCUAGUUGGUAAGGUAACGGCUUACCAAGGCAACGAUGCAUAGCCGACCUGAGAGGGUGAUCGGCCACACUGGAACUGAGACACGGUCCAGACUCCUACGGGAGGCAGCAGUAGGGAAUCUUCCGCAAUGGGCGAAAGCCUGACGGAGCAACGCCGCGUGAGUGAUGAAGGUCUUCGGAUCGUAAAACUCUGUUAUUAGGGAAGAACAUAUGUGUAAGUAACUGUGCACAUCUUGACGGUACCGAAUCAGAAAGCCACGGCUAACUACGU
rnacentral:rRNA from 1 species